GUUUGAUCCUGGCUCAGAACGAACGCUGGCGGCGUGCCUAACACAUGCAAGUCGAACGCGAAAAGUAGUAAUACUGAGUAGAGUGGCGCACGGGUGCAUAACACGUAACUGACCUGUCCUCGAAACUGGGAUAACCAUUCGAAAGGAUGGCUAAUACUGGAUAAGCCCACGGGUUUGGACCUGAGGGAAAAGGCGCGGGAUUCUUCGGAACCGCGCAUUUGAGGAGGGGGUUGCGGCCCAUCAGCUAGUUGGCGGGGUAAAAGCCCACCAAGGCGAAGACGGGUAGCUGGUCUGAGAGGNNCUGGAACUGAGACACGGUCCAGACUCCUACGGGAGGCAGCAGUGGGGAAUCUUGCGCAAUGGGAGCAAUCCUGACGCAGCAACGCCGCGUGGGUGAUGAAGGUCUUCGGAUCGUAAAGCCCUGUCGGAGGGGAAGAUGGCAGUGCAUGUUAAUAGUAUGCGUAGGUGACGGUACCCUCAAAGGAAGCACCGGCUAACUCUGUGCCAGCAGCCGCGGUAAUACAGAGGGUGCAAGCGUUGUUCGGAAUUAUUGGGCGUAAAGGGAGUGUAGGCGGCUAGGAAAGUCUUCUGUGAAAUCUACGGGCUCAGCCUGUAACGUGCAGAGGAAACUAUCUGGCUAGAGUGUCGGAGAGGAUAGGGGAAUACCCGGUGUAGAGGUGAAAUUCGUAGAGAUCGGGUGGAACACCAGUGGCGAAGGCGCCUGUCUGGCUGACAACUGACGCUGAGACUCGAAAGCAUGGGGAGCAAACAGGAUUAGAUACCCUGGUAGUCCAUGCCGUAAACGAUGAUAACUAGAUGUGUGAGGUAUUGACCCCUUACGUGUCGAAGCUAACGCGAUAAGUUAUCCGCCUGGGGAGUACGGUCGCAAGAUUAAAACUCAAAGGAAUUGACGGGGGCCCGCACAA
rnacentral:rRNA from 1 species